GGCCAGCGGGGUCGGCUAGCGCGGUCAGAGCGCGAGGCGGCAGGCAGCGGCGACGUCGGGCUGGUUUGAGUGAGCGCGCGCGUCCCUGCCGAGGCCUUCUCGGAUUGGCCGGCCUGGGCCCCGGCGAGGCCGCCGGGGCGGGUCCGUUGGAGCGGAGGCGUUCGGGGAGCGGGCGGUCUUGCGGCGUAGGUAGCGGAGCCGGAGUCAGGUGGCUUCCGGAGGCCCGGCCGCCGCCUUCUCCUUCCGGGAUAGCGGCCCUGGGGACCCUCUGGUCGCAGCCCCCCGGAAAAAAUGAUUGAGGAGAGCGGGAAGAGGAGAAGGACAAUGGCAGAGAAGAGACAGCUAUUCAUGGAUAUGAGGGCUCAGAAUUUUGAUGUUAUCAGACUUUCAACAUAUCGGACUGCCUGCAAGCUGAGAUUUGUGCAGAAAAGAUGUAAUCUUCAUCUUGUUGAUAUCUGGAAUAUGAUUGAAGCCUUCCGAGACAAUGGCCUUAAUACAUUGGAUCACAACACAGAGAUCAGUGUUUCUCGACUGGAAACAAUCAUUUCAUCCAUCUACUACCAGCUAAAUAAACGCCUUCCUUCGACUCACCAGAUCAGUGUGGAGCAAUCCAUCAGCCUUCUCCUCAACUUUAUGAUAGCAGCAUAUGACAGUGAGGGCCAUGGGAAGUUGACAGUGUUUUCAGUUAAAGCUAUGUUAGCAACCAUGUGUGGUGGGAAAAUACAAGACAAACUAAGAUAUAUUUUCUCCCAAAUGUCAGAUUCCAAUGGAUUGAUGAUAUUUACAAAGUUUGAUCAGUUUUUGAGAGAAGUUUUAAAACUUCCAACAGCUGUAUUUGAAGGGCCUUCUUUUGGAUACACAGAACAUUCUGUACGGACAUGUUUCCCACAACAAAAAAAGAUAAUGCUAAAUAUGUUUUUAGACACACUGAUGAUUGAUCCACCCCCUCAGUGCCUUGUGUGGCUACCUCUCAUGCACAGACUUGCACAUGUUGAAAAUGUCUUCCAUCCUGUGGAAUGUUCAUAUUGUCGGUGUGAGAGCAUGAUGGGUUUCCGGUACCGAUGCCAGCAGUGCCACAACUACCAGCUCUGUCAAAACUGUUUUUGGCGUGGCCACGCAAAUGGCCCUCAUAGCAACCAACAUCAGAUGAAGGAGCAUUCCUCAUGGAAAUCGCCUGCCAAGAAGCUGAGCCACGCAAUUAGUAAAUCUCUUGGUUGUGUGCCCACUAGAGAACCACCUCAUCCUGUAUUUCCUGAACAGCCAGAGAAGCCACUUGAUCUUGCUCAUAUAGUUCCUCCUCGACCUCUGACAAACAUGAAUGACACCAUGGUUACCCAUAUGUCCUCCGGAGCACCCACUCCGACGAAAAGGUUGCAGUACAGACUGGACACUGCCAAUCGUUUAGCUGAUGAGCAUGCACUGAUAGCAACAUAUGUGAGCCGGCUACAGAAUGGUACACGUGUCCUGGACAGCCCUAGCAGACUUGAUGAGGAGCACAGACUUAUUGCCCGAUAUGCUGCCAGGCUGGCUGCGGAAGCUGGAAAUGCACCACGCCCACCAACAGACCUGGGUUUCAAUUUUGAUGCCAAUAAACAACAAAGACAGCUGAUAGCCGAACUGGAAAACAAAAACAGAGAGAUACUGCAAGAAAUUCAGCGCCUCAGACUGGAGCAUGAACAAGCCUCCCAGCCAACCCCAGAGAAAGCUCAGCAGAACCCAACUUUGCUGGCAGAACUCAGGCUUCUACGGCAGAGAAAGGAUGAACUAGAACAGAGAAUGUCUGCACUUCAAGAGAGCAGAAGGGAACUGAUGGUGCAGCUUGAAGGGCUAAUGAAACUGCUCAAGGAAGAAGAACAAAAGCAGGCAGCUCAAGCAGCAAGCUCCCCACACUCCUCACCUACCCAUGGAGCCAGUCGCCCAAUGCCGAUGCCUGUCAGAGCCACUUCCGCUGGCUCUACCCCAACUCACGUACCUCAGGACUCACUUGCGGGAGUCGGGGGAGAUGUGCAGGAAGCUUUUGCACAAGGUACACGAAGAAACCUCCAUAAUGAUUUAUUGGUAGCAGCUGAUUCAAUUACAAAUACAAUGUCUUCUUUGGUGAAGGAACUUCAUUCAGAUACUAAAGAAGACAGAUCCCUUGAAAAUAUCUGAAAUAAUUUCACUUGUGUAAGUUAGGAAAAGCGUGAAUUAUACUCAGCUGAUGAGAUUCAAUGGGAUUUAACAUCUUAGUCAGGAGUUAAACUAGGAGAACGUAACCCUCCUCCAGGCCUGGAUUCCCUGCCAGCUAUAGUUGCAGACAUAAUGUUUGGGAUGUUUUUGUGAGUCACAGGUGUGAGCUACAGUACCUAGCAUCUAUUUGGCCUAUAGCAUCUUCGUCUGCAUUCAAAAAACAGUGCCCUGAGGAGAGCAAAAAGGGAAAGGAAGAAUUGCUUCUGCAGAUAUUCAGUAGACAGUAGAUAGAUUGGAGUAUAAAGCAUGGGCUUCUCACAAAAAGUUUGACUAUCCCCCAGUCCACCUUUCCCUACCCUUAGGAAAGUUCCAUGUUGACACAAUCUUCCCUGGCCAGGAAAUACUGGAUACCACUUAGAGCGAUGACCAGAUAGGUCAUUCAAAAGCAACAUAAGGUAACAUAUACUCCUUAUCCUAAGGACUAAGCAGGCUGCUGUCUAACUUUCCCAGCCCCACUUAGCUUGAGAAGCAAGAGACAAGUGUAGCAGCCAGACUCGGAACUUGCUUAGAGCCCCAGCUCACCUUUGUGAUUUUUUAAAAUAUUGUUUCAUUUCAGUCAGUGAUUUCUGCCAUCAUCCUAUUACAUAUUUCACUUGUCGUGUCGGGCACCAUGGAAAAGGCCAUUGGUAGAAGCACUUCUGAUUUCUCAAAGUGAUAUUUAUCAAUUGGCCAUAGUCAGAACAAUGAAGAAAACGCCAGUUUCUUUGACUUCUCUAUUAAAGAUCCCCUUUGGUCAGAACCAAUUUACACUCCUCAAGCUUUUAAAGUUGUGCUUUCUAUUACAGGUGUUUUUUCUCUUUCAAAACUCUAUUUAUAUAUUUUAAAACAUGGGUCAAGGGAAAUAUCACUUCCUGUAAUAACUAUUAUCUGUUUACAUAAUGUUACUAGAAAUGCUAUAUACAGAGAUAUGACCCCUCCCCCCCCCAAAUGAGAAGGAACUUGCCCUUCUGCCCACAUUCUCCUCAAUAUAAAUACUAGCCUGGCCCAUAAAUUCACUUCAUCUUAACUGAGUUAAAUAAAGUGAGCCUUGUUGCUCAAUUCCAGUUUGUCCUAUGUUCCUAAAACCUCAUGCUUCAGGGCUUCAGUUGGCCAUCUGCGGGGGGUCAGAAAGGGAUACCCCCCCAUGUAUUCUGGGGAAGAUUUUGGUCUUUCUCUGAAGCAAUACGGCUGAAGUUGGAACACAGGAUGGGGUGGUCAGGGGUGAGGUGGCACGGAGCAUUCUCCCUCUCAGGUGCUUGUGUGGCUGGUUCUUGCUCACAUGCUCAGGAUCUAAAUGAUCACCAUAUGUGGGGUCGGGAAAAAAUUUUCCCCCAGACCAGAUUGCCAGUAACUUUGGGUUUUUUUUCUUUCCUCUGCAGCAUGUGGGUGCAGGUCUCUUGUCAAUAAUAUCUAGCUAUAGCUCAAUCAUUUCCCUGCCAUUGCAGGGGUAUCUGGCAUUUGGGGCUCUUUGGUCUCUUCUGUUCUCUCCUGGAGACACACAAUAGUCUAGUUUCCUGUGGGCUGUAAUCUGAUGGCCCCUUCUGGCUUUAAAUUCUGUGAUUAAACUCUGUGACUCUACUUGCUCCAUCAGCAUGCACUUCCUUUCUGUCACUGAGAGACCUAAUGAGAAGUGUAUUUCUUGGAACAGAAUCUGUUCUCAGUUACAGCUGUGCCACCCCAGUGACUUUCAGGAGUGUUGAAGUCUCUCGGCACCUCACAUGAUUAGGCUUUGAGAACUUUAGUCAUUAACAUCAAGUUUUCUUCCUCCUGGAUCUCCAUAAAACUGUUUCAGAUUUUCCUUCAGAGCGGAUCUUCUUGCUUGGAGUGAGUGCAGACCUGUAUUCCACUCCAGUGUGCUGGCAUCUUGUGCACUGCAAACUGGAGACUUUUUGCCACUGUAGUACCCGUCGGGGCGGCACGCAUGCUCUGUGCCUCCUCCUGGCUCCUCUCGAGGCUAUAUGAAGGUGGCACUUCCCUAAACCCUCUCAUUUCCUUCUUACCGCCUACGGCUUCGGUUGGAGCACCCCAUGUUGGAAUCUCCUCAUGAUUUCUCUGCUGAGUCACACUCGGAUGAUUCGGUAUUUCAUAGUGUAAAUCGUUUCUGGCAGUUAGCACCCAUAGUUUGUUAGAUUAGUUAGUUUAUUUGUGUAUUUAGUGGUACAGUUAGUUUGUAUAGUUCUGGAGCGUACCCCAGGCUUUGGGCAUUGCCUGUCCCUACCUGUGACCCCCACAUAUGCAACUUGUUGUGCCUUGGUGAGAACCACAUCAGGGAAUAGUGAAGUAUCUAUUGUUCUGUUAAGAAAAGAAUGCAGACCGCAAGAGAUCUUCAUCUAAAGCAGCAUUUUGUUGGAACCAGCUGUGAGACCUGCCUUGACACGAGGACCCUGUUCCAACCACUCAGUUAACUGGUAUCCUCUACCUCUGUGGGAGUUGGGGACAGACCCAGGGACUUUGAUCAGUCAUGGAGGCAGAAAAGAGGUCCAUCAUUAUUCCACAGAUCCCUCGUAAGAGGACUCAUAAAAUGGGCCGGAGUGCCAGAAAUUGAGGAGGGAUUUAUUCUCCUCUUCAUCAAGACAGGACCUCACUGUCAACAAGACUGGUACCCAGAACAGACCCGUGUCUGCCUGGUAUCAGGAUGGAAGAAUCCCAGUGCUGUGCCAGCGACUCCAGAACCAUCCGUGGGACUGCUGUCAAGUCUGGUCUCUACGGAAACUCCAGCACCAUCGCUCUCAGUGCCAUUGACCUGACAAGGUUACCUGGCAGCUUCAGACUUGCUUUGUCUAGCUGCCCUGGCAUUCCUGCUAACUCAGGAUAUCAGUGAAGAGACGGUGCCCCAGGCUAUCUCAGGCCCUUCAUUGUCUUCAGCUUUGGGGCAGAGAUUGCCUUCAGCUCCAGUACCAAUGAAGAGGCAGGCUCCACCCAUUCUCUCACAGCACUGUCUACAAAACUAGCCUUGGUACCGGCGUCCUCCAUAUCAGUAGCUAUAUCAGAGUGGGGUCUGAAUCUUGACCCCUCAGCACCAAUAGGGGAUCCGUCCUCUGUACCGGACCCCAUGCAAGACUGUCUAUGAUGCCAACCAGAGUAUAGAUGUUACCUUUUCUGUGUUGUACAGUGGACAAGUCAGGUUUUCCAGAGGCCCUACCGGUUGGGCACCCACCACACCUAGUGAUUAUUCAGACAGUUCUUCUCACUCCAGGUCAGUGUCCUGAAACUCUUCUCAUUCCCCACAUCAGCGAAUGCAAUCACAUACGUCAUCCAAACACUCAGGGAGUAAGCACUGGUACUGAGAGAGGAGACAUUUCCAUAGUAGAGACAGACCUGCCUGGCCCACAAUGUACUGGCCUUCUUGCUGUACCCCAGGCUGAUAAUCCCAGCCUAGGGGUGCUUCUCAUUCAAACAGAUCCAGUUCUCUGCGUAUGUUGGAUGUAAGAUCCCCUUACCUGGGGAAUGGCCCAAGCCAUGGACCAGCCUGUUGUGGAAGUCCAGGACUACAUUCUUUCUCCUGGGCUAUUCUCUGUGAUUAACCUUUUGCCGGAGAACAAACCCGUACCACAGGUGACACCUUUGGCUCCAGCAGCACUGUCAACACCCUCCCAGGACAAUUUGGUGGCCCUGACUUUGGCUUCCCCAGUUCCAGAGGACUUCAAGUUCUUCCAGGAACUGCUCAGGAGAAUGGCUGCAGUUCUGGGUAUUUAAGCUGAGCUGGUACAAGAGAAUACUCACAAAUUGGUAGACAUCCUCCAGGAUUCAGCCCUGGGAGGUGUUGCCCCCUCUAUCAAUGGUGCUGUAAGGGACCCAGGGCGUAGAUUGUCUUGCCUGUAGCAGUCACAGCUGAGCUGAGGUCUGCCCUCCAGAGUUAGGAGUCUCCAAGGAAUAGUUGGAGGAAUCACAAGGCCAAGUCCCAUAACUUGAGUCAGAGACGAGAGAUCAGAGGUAGUACCAGGUUAGAACCGAGAGGCAGGAGUCGGGGUCAGAGUCAGGCUGGGGUCAGAGACCGGAGACCAGGGGCAGUACUGGGUUAGAACCGAGAGGCAGGAGUCGGGGUCAGAGUCAGGCUGGGGUCAGACCCGGAGAUCAGUGGCAGUACCGGGUUAGAACUGAGAAGCAGGAAUCGGGGUCAGAGUCAAUCUGGGGUCAGACCCGGAGAUCAGUGGCAGUACCGGGUUAGAACUGAGAAGCAGGAGCCGGGGUCAGAGACCAGAGGCAGUCCUGGGUCAGAACCGAGAGGCGGGAGUUGGGGUCAGAGUCAGGCCACGGUCAGAGACCAGAGGCAGUAGUGGGUUAGAACUGAGGAGAGGCAGGAGUUGGGGUCAGAGUCAGGCUGCCAUUGGAAACCAGAGACCAGAGGCAGUACUGGGCUAGAAUCAGGAGUCAGGGUCGAAGUCAGGCUGGCAUCAGAGACCAGAGAUCAGGAGACAAGGCAAAGUCUGGUGUUGCAGCAGGGCAAAGUCUGUGUACUUAGCUAGAUACCUUCCUGGGGCAACCACUGGGAUUAAAUUGGGGCUCUUGGCCAAUUAGAGGGCCACAAGGACUGUCACUCUGGGUCUCGUGAGCAGUACUUCUUGCGGCCCCUACUCUCCACUGGUUGUGCCUCUGCAGGCCUGGGUUCUAGUCCCCAUGUCCUCACAUACGCCCUCUUAUCGACAGCUAAAUCUUUGUGGCACAUGUCAGCAUCACUAGCCCCAAUAGCCAAGCAAACAGAAAAGCAAUAUUAUGUCCCUUCCCAGAAGCUGGAGUGUGUCUAUUUCACACCAAAACCCAAACUCAUUAAUUGUCGUUAAUGCGAGGACACCAUAAGGAAGAUUUAAUUCUACCCCAAAAGAAAAAGAACCUGAAAGACUGGACGCAUUGGGUAGAAAAUGUGUGCUACUGCUUCACUCCAGGAGAAAAUAACAACCAGCAAGCUCUUUCAGUGGGAGGUGAUGUCUAAAUUCAUGGACAAAUUGCCAGACAACUCCAGAGAGAAGUUCAAAACUUUCUUGACCAAGCGCUUGCUUGUGGCAAAGACCUCACUGCAAUCUACUGUCAACAUAAUGUGUGAUUCUUCCAGAGCAAUGACCACUGCCAUCAUCAAGAGGAGGGCAUCUUGGUUAUUUAAUUCCGAGAUAGCACCAGAUAUCCAGCAAACCACUGAAAUUCUGUCUUUUGAUGGACAGUUUGUAUUUCCUGACAAGCCAGAUGAGGUGUUUCUCUUUUAAAGAUUCAUGAGUGACUCUCCACUCCUUGGGGGUUUAUCUUCCAGCCUCCAAGAAGCAUUAGUACAAGCCCCUGCAGAAAUAUUCAGAUUAUUUUCAUGGACAGCUCUUCUGUCCUCCCGUAUGAUACUAUGCUUCUUGGAGUAGAGAGAGGCUUCAGAAAAGAAGGUCAUCUAACAUUACCACUAACACACCAUGCUCUCAGCUUCCUGUAAGGACACAACUCUUUGGACUUGUUUUUCGAGGACAGCAUAGCAACCAACAAUGAUCUACACAUCCCUUCUAAGUGUGAGGACAGAUUAUCCCACUUCCUCAGCCCAUGGGAACAAAUAUCUUUAGACAAGUGGGUCCUAAGUGCUAUGGAUCUGGGAUAUUCAGUCCCAUUCAUUUCCACCCCUCCUCCCUACCCUCCUUCUCUGUCCCUUUUCAGGGACCCAUCUCAUGAGUCUGUGCUCCUUCAGGAGGGUCAGGCUCUCCUCACCCUGGUGGCACAGAGUAAGUUUCCCCAAUCUUUUUCCUGAUCCCCAAACACAAGAGUAGAACUGAGACUGUUCUGGAUCCCUGGGCUCUCAAUAAGUUCAUCAAGCAAGUGAGAUUGUGCCUGCUUACCCUAGCUUCAAUCCUCCGUUCUCUAGAUGGCAAUGGUUGGUUGGCUGCCCUUGUUCUUUUAGACACAUAUUUCAGUAUAGCUGUGUUACCCUGCCUCAGGAAAUUCCUCAGACUUGUCAUCAUCAGUACAUGGUACUCCCCUUUGGCCUGUCAUCACCAAAUGUGUGGUGGCCUUCUCUAGGAGGAACGGGAUACAUGUCUUCCCUUACCUUGAUGGUUGGCUGGUCCAGGGGUUCUCUCACAGUCAGGUCCAUUGCCAUCCAUUGACUAUAUCAUCCACCUGUUCAAUCACCUUCAUCUUAUCCUGAACAGAGAAAAGUCUGCACUGAUUCCUGCCCAGAGACUCGAGUUUGUUGGAGCACUACUGAGUGUGGUUAGGGUGGAACCACCUUAAUGUAGCCUCAGGAAGGGCCAUGAGGAGGUAUAAGGCAUGUGCACUGUCUCAAGGGGUGGUAAAAAGUCUCCAGCUCACAGUGCAGAAGGCAGUACACACCUGAGCAGAAUACACAUCUGCACCCACAUCUCGAAGAACAACUGUGACCCAACAGGUAAGUCACCAUUUUCUUUCUGUGUCUGACCCAUUCCCCAGUGUCCGUUGUUUGGGUUAUAUAACUCUGAGUCUCUUUGACGGCUCAACAGUGGCUGCACAGGUGCACAAGAGGACCGAUGGUCUUUGUAUAUCAUGCUACACGUGGCCAGGCAUAGUCCUAUAGGCAAGUGCAGGCACUGCCCCCUGCUGGGGUGAAUGUGAAAAUGGGAGUCGUUAAACCAGUCGGUAGAAGGAGCAUACGCUCUGCCAACUGAAAGGAUGGUGCAGCUGCCACUACAGCAUGAAAGAAUUCCAGCUUAGUCGGUCUGAAGUACUCCUGAGGGCUCCCACUCCAGCACAGCCCCUUCCCUCUUCCCAGUGUGAGUCUCACAAGCCAAUGUGGCUCUUAGCGAGCUCCCUCCUAUAGAAAACCGCUUUCUAGCAACUCGUUUCCAUGCGUGUUUGUCUGACAUUUGUUUGUUUUUGAAGCAGAGGAAGUAGGUGAAGAAGAAGAGGAAAAGAUGCAGAAUGGCAAGGACAGAGGUUAGAUGGAAGAACCCAGACUGUACAGUAAUUCAAGCACAGAGAGUUAUGAAGCGAGCUCAUGUUCUAACGAAGUCUCCACAUCCUUUGGAAGAGGCAUGUUUCAACUGAUACUUACACCAUUGUGCAACUGUGAAAGAUCACAACCAACCACCUGCUGUAAGGGAAGGGAAAGCAGCUUUCUUUUAACUGACUGAAGGGCUUUCCCUCUGGGCAUUUUCCUCUUAGAUUAUUGCAUGUACUAUUUUCAUAGGUGUUUGCCAAUGCUAAUCGGACAAUGCCCCAUCAAAAAUUCAACAAAGCGUUUUUAUGGGAGGUUUCAAAAGAAAACUGUUCUCUUGUAAAGUGCACUGAUCUCUUCUGAUUUCCUACCCGAGCAGUGUCAUCUCAUCAUGCGCUGGUGGUUUCACUCAUGACCUUUGAUCUUGGAUGUGCAUGUAAAAUGGAUUUUAAACCGUUUGAGUUUUCCUGUGUGUAAUACAAAGGGAACUCUGAGUACAAAUCCUUUAAAAACACACACUUUCUAAAAAUACCACUCUGUCUAUUAAUGUUUGGUUGCCAUAGUGUUUGAUACUGCAUGUCAUUCUGAGAGUAAAUGACAGGGCAUGCCAAGAGUAGAGGAAUGCAGAGCAAGGAGAGGGGAAUGGCUGUAAUUAGGACCAUAAAACUUGGAUGAGAUGCCUCCUGGGGAUUCCCAACUCUGUGUAUUUUUCUUUUAGACUCUGUUAAAAAUUACUUGAAUGGUUCUUGGCAAGCAAGGGAAUUCAGGGAUGACCACUGCUAGGUUCCGAUUAGUGCCUGCACAUUCAUUUGCAAGAAGCAAUUAUAUUUUUAUUUAAAUUUAAGGAGAAAUAACGAUGUUGUGUACUCGGAGGUUUGAAACUCACCACUACCUGGAUCCUUGCUAGACUCUAGUUUUGUAGCUACUUAGAAAACAUUGUAAUCAGUUCCAAUCACUAGUGAUUUUAUUUUAUUUUACUUUUUUCUUGGUGCUUAGGAAUGUUAUUUUUAGCAGAAGAGCUGAGUGCCCUAAUGCAUCUAUAAAUAUUUAUCAAGGGCGAUGAAUGGAAUGGAGUGAUAAACCCUGAAACCAACUCCCAGCUUUUCUCCCUGUCUCAUCUGAGAUGCAACGCUGGUUCUGGGAGGAAAGUGCUCGUUAGGUACCUAUAACUCUUUGGGGGAGAGAAAAUAAACAUACAUGGUGGCCACAGGUUUAGUCAAAUAUAAAUAUUGUGAAUGAGCUGUCAAGAAGGAAAGAAAAGUGAGGAUAACCUGGUUCAGUGUGUUAGCUUUAGCCUGCCAAACACCACACACUUGGAAGGGUUCGUGGCUGUCUUUGUGCACUUUCAGUAUGAUUAGCUGAAUCGUUACCCAGACAUUACUUUGGUUGCAGCUAUACAGAUUCAAGAAAGGGAUGUGUGUGCUGGAAUUUUAAAGGAUGAAAGUUUUGCUAGUGGCCUGCUCAAGGACCUGCCGGUAUAGACAGGAGGCCAUCAGGGCUUAGAGACAUUCUGACUGUGGCUUCAUCAUAUCUUCACUGUGGACCCUCUUUUUUGUCCUUGAUUUUCAUGCACUUUUUCCCCCACUUACCACCUUGAUGCCAAAGGUCAGAGUAGUAAAAUGCUGGCAUCUGAUAAGGGGGGAAGGGAUAGCUCAGUGGUUUGAGCAUUGGUCUGCUAAACUCAGGGUUGUGAGCUCAAUCCUUGAGGGGGCCAUUUAGGGAUCUGGGGCAAAAAUUGGGGAUUGGUCCUGCUUUGAGCAGGGGGUUGGACUAGAUGACCUCCUGAGGUCCCUUCCAACCCUGAUAUUCUAUGAUUCUAAGUUUCCAUUGCUCCAAUUGUGAAUGGACCAGCAACAGCAUCAAGUACCUGGGAUCACUCUGUCACACCCACCAAGCCUGCUUUCAGACAGGCAAAGGUCCUCUUGACAUUUAACUUCAAUAACCACUGCCAAAGCUGUGUGCGGAAAUCUUUGUGGAAGGAAAUAUGAAUUGUGAACUAGAAUAGGCCUUGGUGGAUGCUGAAGAUAAGCUGGAAAUAGGCAGUAUGUGGUACAGUAAGUCUGGGAGAGGAGUAGGUGAAAGUUUUUGCCUUUAGGAUGUUCCAAAUGAAAACAUAUGUUUUUCUCCCCCAAAUGAGAAAUCUGGGUCAGAGUUACAGUGGAAGGGGAGACGCUGUACAUCAGCCAGUGACUAUGAUUUACAGCUUUUCUAGACAGACAAGGUGGGUGAGGGGAUAUCUUUUAUUGGACCGAGUUCUGUUGGUGAGAGAGACAAGCUUUCAAGCUAGUACCACACCCACCAUAUCUAAUAUCCUGGGACCGACAUGGCUACAACAACAGUGCAUACUGCAGCUCUUCUGUCACAUGAUUACAGCGUGAAAGCAAGGUACAUGGACAAACCAAAUACCGCUCGUUCUUUUUUUAAGUUUUUCCUUUUUAUUCAUUUUCCACCGCCUCACUUUUUUUGCCACCAUUAGUCUAAUAUUUAGAGGCUAAAACUUCCACUCUAGCUGGUAGUUUUUGCAGCUCUUGGAGGUGAAUACACUUCUCCCUACAAGAAAGGGACUAUCUGUCCCUAUAGGCUGUCUACACUGUAACAGAUCUACACGACAGUGGUUAAAACAGCAGUGGUUGCCACCACCUUAUCUACACUGGGGCUCUCACCAGUAGAGUUGAACUAGUGAUAACUGUGGUGGGAAAUAUCCUAGUACAGAUAAGGCCCUAGUGUGUGCAAGCUGGGAGAUGAGGUAACUAUAGUAUGAUGAUGGUGAUGCUACAUAUCUAUAGCACCCUCCAUCCCGAAGGACAGGCAGGGUGCUUUGAUCACAGGUUACAGACAGCGAGAGGUUGUGAUAACCCCCCUUCAGUGGAAUAGCGAUUGAACAGCACAGAGCAGCACCACCAGGACCAAAGGCACUUCCUUAGUUUUGUUGUUUGCUGCCUACUAUAAAAGGAGGAGCAUUUCCUCUAUCAAAGUUCCAGGAAGCUAAUUUCACUUGCCCACAGGCAUUACAAUACAAUGAUCACGUCUUAGCCUGUUGUAAGCUCAGCUAAGGAACCUGUGACAGCAUUUUCUGUAUCAGACGAUUAGAGAGUUGGCUUACUCUUCUCUUUACGCUGAACUCUGUGAUUGAAUAGGCAAGCUCCACUGUGCAGUGAAACACGUCAUUUCUGCAGAAAGCUGUGGCAUCUGCUUUUUGUUCGUAUAACUCUUGACAGGAUCAAUGGGCUUUUACAGCCAGAGACAGUGCAUAGUGUGUGUAUAUUAAUUGUGACCCUGUGUGCCAUGCUUCUGGAUUACCUCACCCACAGUGCCGUAUAUUUUAGUCUACAAAGCAUUCAGCAAAUGCUUCACAUUAUUGUAAUGAGGGGGUCUGCAGGUUGAUUUUCAGUUAUACUGUAAGCCUGUCUUACAUGAUGUGAUACCGAGAGGAGGUCAUUGGUUUACCUGACCACCUCUUGCACAGAAGCCAUUUGUAUGUCACUCUCAUGCUAGAGUAGCUGGGAAAACGUGGCUUUUUUCCCCAAGCACCUUACAAUUUUAAUUCUCCCUCAAGUAGGAAUGGUGAACUGGGGAAUUAAGUGUCAGGAAGCAGAGCGCCAAUGGGUCAUUUACAAACUCCAAGGCCAUUUCCCCAUGUGUGAUCAUUAAGGCCUAAACUUCAGUUACAUUUGUCCUCAUUAACCUGGUACGCUCCCAGGAGCUACACUGCCAUUUGUGCUGAGUCCGGAACAAGGUUUGCAUCCAGCCUUAUCCUGUUGCCGUAGUGCUGCUAGGGAGCACUAGCCAGCAAUUGCUAAAGAGAACCUGGCGAGGAGGCUGCAGAGCGACCUUGUGAUGUUGCCGGUUGUCAUGACCUGUCACACAGGAAUGUCUCUGAGGGGACCUGGAGCUCUGCGUCCUGCUCAUUGGUACUCAGUACUCAGACCUUUGGUGAGCCCCCUCCUAGCCACCUUCCAGCCACUUUGCUCUCCCUUCACUCUGCCGUGGAGAUGAGACUGCUCCAAAUGCCCGUCUCCUGAUGGCAAGAGCAGCUCAGUGGAAGGAGGAAGCUUUGAAUGUGACUAAAUGGGUACCGUUGACAGAGCUUUUGGGAACCCGUGCAGCAUGUCAUCAUGAGAGAACUUAUGUCAGGACUUGUGUGCACGGCAAGUUACUAGGCGGCAAGCCAGGGUGUGAAUCUUCAGCACACCAGCUUGCCACACUCAGGGACAUGGCUUCAGUACAGUGAAAGUCCCUGUGCUGGAGUAGUGCCCACACUGGACGUUGCUGGCGGGCAAGCUGGAGUGCGGUAGAUUCACCCGCUGGCUUGCCGUGCAGUAACUCGCUGGGUAGACGAGCCCUUGGUGAGCACAGCGUAAUUCCUGUGUGAUGUGCCAUGACACCUGGGAUAGCUCUGCACUCCCCAAUGCUGCUGUGGUGACAUGACAUGCCAUUAUGUGGAAGAAAAUAACUCACACAUGCUAACGUUGGAAACUCUGCUUAUAAACUAUUGUUUGCCUUGCAGUAACUGCCUUAACGCCCCUGGGAUCAAUCUUCCAGGCCAGGCUUUAAUAUAUUUUACAGGGCUGUCUUCUCUGGCAUUGCUUUACCCCACGCUAGUCACACAUGCCCACACGCUUUACUAAGUCUGUUUCUAACAUGUCAGCGAAAACAGCACUGUCCUACCCAUCUGUGCUAGUCUUCACUGGACGCAAAAUUUAACCUUUGGAGACUGGGUGACAUUCUUCUCUGCUACACCAGAACGACUCCAUCCAGGUCAGUGGAGUAGUAGCCAUGUAACAGAGGUAAUUCUGAUCCUGUGUGUAAUAUAGAGACCCUAUAGAACUCUAGCAGGCCACACAGAUGUGGUAUUGAUAUUGAUGUAAUGAACUGCAGUCAAGCAGGUAUCGCCCGCACUCUGCCCUCUGGCCCAUCUCUGCUGGGACACCUUCAGACAUUCCACACCCCUGAGCGGCUUCAGAAGGCUGCCAUUGGGAAAAAAUGCACCAAAGAGAUGUUUCCUUUUUUCCUUCAGGUGUGGAGCUUUUUCUGCACAUGUUCCUGUACACUUUUUCCUGGAUGUGUAAUAACAUCAGAGUCAUGAGCAAAAGAUACAGGGCCUGAUACAAAGCCCAUUGAAGUCAACGGGAGGCUUUGCAUUACCUUCAGUAGGCUUUGAUCAGGCCCAUUGUGCAAAGCCACAUUGCUCACUAACGUGCAGUAUCGCCAUGGCUCUGGCUAGGUACUCAGGAGAAGAGAGACGUUUUACAGAAAUCAUUGUCCGUCUCCAGUGAAGCUCAACAACUGGUGACUUUGUCUCUGUGAUGUUUGGUGUGGAAAUGUUGGCUGUUUGUUUUGCACCCUCCUCCUGUUUCACGUCUUGGUGAGCUUUGACCAAAAUGCCUGUUUUCACGCUGGAAACAGGCAAAAAUUCGUAUUUUGCAGCCAUCUCUGCUCAAUCCAUCCUAUUUUUUAAUUGAAAGUAGCCUUGUUUUCACUGGGAAAAGGGCCCAUUUUUUGAGCAAAUACUGUACAAAACAGUGAAGGGUUUGGUUUUUUUUUGUGGAAGGGGGCCAAAAGGACCCAUUCUUGUCUUCACAAUGCAAUGCCAUAGGGUGGCCACAGCAGCACUAUGCCAACCUCUGCGUAUGGUGGGGCCUGGGGCUCCCUGUCUGCACCCAAGUCUGGUCUACUUCUGUUCUCUAAGAAAUGACCCCUCCGAAGUGCCACACAUACAAAGUACAGUUUAUCCCGGCUCUGCUCUGUUUGUAAGGGACGCUUGAACAUGCUCUGGGGCUGAAACUUCGUUGCUGGGUGGGGGGCUAUGUCCCCAAUUCUUGUUUGACAUGGAUACUCGUUAAAGAAGAGGCUGUCUCCAGUGAAGACACAGCCACUGUAUGGAGUAGUGCAGACCAAGGACUAUGCUAUGUGUAAACAGGUGCAGUGAAGGUGACCGGAAGGUAUGUCCACAAUGCAGAACUGCAGCAUAAAGACAAGAGCGGUGACUAAGCCUCCCAAUUAAUUGUCGCUUGGUCUGAGGAUUGUAACUGGCUGAGAUGUGGCGGGGAGAUUAUGCCUCCCACAGGCGGCGGAAGCUCACUUUGAAUGGGGGGUGGAGGGAUUGCAGGGGGAGCAGGAUGGGCGCUCUGCAUGGGGAGUAAGACUCAGUGCAGGGGGGCAGAGGAGGGUGGCCAGCUACAGGCUGGGAAGGGAGGUCCCAGAGGUUCGUGUCUCUUGCCGGCCACCAGGGAUAGCUGCUCCUGGCCCUGGCCCUAUCACUACAGUUCCUGUUUACUGUCCAGCCUGAUCCCGGGGGUGCGGCAGACACUCCAGGUCCCGCUCUUGCCUUCAUCUCCCCCCAGCCCCCACCACGUGCGUGCAGUUUACAGAGAAGAUUGGUUCCCAGAAUGUGUAGCAGAAUGAUGUGUGUGGGCAGAAAUAUAGAUCAGCCCCCCUCCCGCCCCCCCACGUUUCCAUUGCUAGCCCCCACCGUCCCCUGAUUCUGCUGUCCCAGAUGCCUCGUCCUUCCUGGCGAUGGGCGCGAACACCCAGACACACAGGUUGGUGUGCACUCUCUGCACCGCCUUGUCCGCUCAGCUCAGCCCAGCCAACCGGCCUGUCAGAGGAAAUGAUAAAAUGUUCCAAGUAAACUGCGAAGGCUCGUGCGCUGUGCUGUUAACCAGGGGAAGGAAAAUUCCUUUGGUUUUAUGAAGUGCAUCUUCCUGCCGGUUUAAAAGAAGAACCGUUCGCUAGCUGGGCAAAGCGUAGCCAUUCCCAGGGAAGGAAUUAGCGCUUCCCCCUGCCUGGCCUGCUGGCGAGGGAGCCCGGGUGGGGUGUGGAAGCAGGACGGCAACAUGCGAGGUUAGUUGCCAUGGCAAUGUCUCUGGAGCUGCUGUCUGGGCGGGGCCAACCAAAGCAACAGAUUCCAUGAGGAAAGCCAGAGCUGACCCGGCUCCCUGCCCAGCAUUGCACAAGGGAAGGGAACUGCUGUCGAAAACGAACCCUUCUCUUGGUCCUAGCUAAACUUUCCAGCUCUGUGAUGGAAUCGUGGGUUCGUCAGCCAGUGUCACCUCGUGUUUGUUGGGGAGGUGAACGUCUGAGGUGGGAGCAGAGUUCCCCUUUAGUCCUGGGUGCCUGGAGCUGGAGUUGCAUGACCCAGCCAGCGCAGUCUGCACUGGGAGCAGCGUACCCUCAGACGGGGGUCUCCCUCGUGCUAUUUUCCACACAAAAUGUCUCUGCCAGUGAUGUAUAAAAGGAAGAAGAUUGGCUUCAGCAACUCGUACAGUACUUCAGCGUGCGUGUGCUCAGUGGAUGUCCAGUUCCUUCAGAGAGCCGGCUAACUUGUAGCACCUAGAUGUAGACAAAGCCAGGCUCAUUCACAUCCGGUCUGGUGGCCACGAGUCGAGCUGGCAGGGACCAAACCCUUUUCUUCCAUGUACUGCAUAGAAAUCUGCCUUGGGAUUCGAGACCACUGUGGAAUGGCUGUACUAUUUCCAAUUUACAACUGUGUCUGUGUGCGUGUGUGUGUAAUAAGUCCAUGCAAGUGUGGGUGGGGGGGUUGAGUGUGUGUCUGUGUGGGUGUUCCAUACAUAAAUGUUAAAAACGAGAUUCUGUACAUGUUGGGAAUGUGUCUAAUACAAAUCUGUAAACUGGAAGCCAUGUUCUGUCAUCUGCCAAAUAUUUAAUAAAUUAGUCCCAUCCUUGUGGGGUCUCUUGUC